CCGGUGGACUACUUGUCACCAUUCUUUACCGGUUUUGUGGCGGUGGUUGUGGCUGCUUUGUUGAUGGUUUUGCUUUAUCUUCAAGUGCUCUGGACUCUGGCUCCUGUGGUGGUUGUGCUGGAAUCCACUGGGGGUUUCAAUUCCUUGAUUCGAAGCGCGAGGCCGGUCAAGGGAGCGGGGACGAUCGCGGUAUCUUUGAUGCUGGUUUUUGGAUGUCUGUCUGGGGUUUUACGGGUGUGUAGCUGGGUUUUGGAAAUGGGGAUUAAUGAGGCUACUAGGUGGAAGAAUUGGGGACUUGCAGUGCUAUUAGGAGUGACUACUGUUUUCCUAAUGUUACUUAUCCUCCACAAUGCUGCGACAAAUACGGCGUUGUACCUGCAUUGUAAGGCUGCACAUGGUGAAGAGUUUGCUGAUAGCUGUGAUCAUUUUCCCUUGCUCGUGGAUGAUGGAAAUUGCUGAUGCUGUUUCUGUAAGGCUUACUUGAACCAAAUGCUUAUGCUACUUGUGUAUGUUAUUGUAGUUGUAUUUGUUUAGUUGCAAGUCAAGCAGCUUCAGUAAUCUAGUAGAAUUAGUAAAACUCUUUACCGAAUUGCUCAUGUUGUUUCCGUAAGGCCGAAUUGCUACUUGUAUGUUAAUAGUAUGCUAUACAUGUUUAGUUACAAGUAAAACAGCUCUGGUAAUCGAGUUCCAGUAUCUGUUUAACCGUUAGAUUGUCUCUUUCCUGUUUCCUCUUUCUUUUCUCUGACUUGUUCUCGUGGCCAAACAAGUUUAGUUUUCCUUCCAGUAUACCUGUAACCAUCGACUCCCAUCCAAGUUCUAAUAGAAAAGGAAUAUAAUAAUACUAAAUAACCUAAUAAGUAAUAAGCUUCAUGAUUCAUGAACGAGCAAAAGAGACUAGGCACUGCAAGCACUGAUGGAUCAAUGCACUUACAAGGGUAGAUCAAAUCUCCACCCUUGAUCCGUCCACGUUGAGACCCCAACUUGAUAAAGUCAGCCUCAUAAGAGCGUCUCCAGU
rnacentral:lncRNA from 1 species